CCUACGGGAGGCAGCAGUGAGGAAUAUUGGUCAAUGGGCGGAAGCCUGAACCAGCCAAGUAGCGUGCAGGAUGACGGCCCUACGGGUUGUAAACUGCUUUUAUACGGGAAUAACGCGCCUUACGUGUAGGGCUUUGCAUGUACCGUAUGAAUAAGGACCGGCUAAUUCCGUGCCAGCAGCCGCGGUAAUACGGAAGGUCCGGGCGUUAUCCGGAUUUAUUGGGUUUAAAGGAAGCGUAGGCCGCAUGUCAAGCGUGCUGUCAAAGCCCGGGGCUCAACCCCGGCCCGCCGUUGAAACUGGCAGUCUCGAGUUGGAGAGAAGUAUGCGGACUGCGCGGUGUAGCGGUGAAAUGCAUAGAUAUCGCGCAGAACUCCGAUUGCGAAGGCAGCAUGCCGGCUCCACACUGACGCUGAGGCACGAAAGCGUGGGUAUCGAACAGGAUUAGAUACCCUGGUAGUC
rnacentral:rRNA from 1 species